UUUAUAAGCAGUGAUUAAUAUGAUCACGUCGGUUUUCGAACAGGGAAGGAAUACGAGUGGGAAAUUCUGGCCAUGGGCUCAUUCAUAAACUGUAUGCAUGCUAUUUGAUAGCUUACAAGGGGUCAAACAAGGACUUUUGAAAACAAUACUUAACAUCACCUGCAACCGUAGAUGAACGAACAGACCUAUCUAUAAAUGUUAUACAGAAGACAAUAUCCAACGUUGAAAAACACCGGAAGCUACAGCGACAAGCUUACUCACAUUAGUCUCUUUCGGACAAAAGUAGUGAAAAUUCUGUGGACACCAGAGGAAAUGGUCAUCGUCCUCUGCCGUUGCAGAAAAUUUGAAUGGCGGAAGAAGGCUUUGAGAUUGCGACCCCCUCCAUCAAAAUAAAGGACUUGUUCUGGUGUGUCCACAUCUCAUCCUUCGACGAAACAUACCGAUCAGUCAUCCAACGUCCUCUACUUAACAUGAGUGGUCUUUGAACUCGAACACUUUCUGUAAAGUGAACUAGAGCAGGAAAGUAGAGAAGAUUCAAGAACAUGAAUUAUUUUUCUUUGUAAGGAUUUCCCGUAACUUGAGCCGGAAGGUAGAGAGAUUGAAGAUUGAAGAAUAUGAACGGAUUUUCUUUGUAAGGCAUUUUCACAAAAUUAAAUGCUGCAAGAAGGCUUGGAGAUUUGCCUAACAAAAUGAACAACUAAUUCUGGUGUAUCCACAUCUCAUCCUUCGACAUAACACCCUAAUGAGUUAUCUUCUCAACCUGGCUGAUCUCUAAACUCAAACCUUCUGUAAGAUGAACUACAGCAGGAAAGAAAAGAAGCUAAAGAUUCAAGAAUAUGAAUUAUUU
rnacentral:lncRNA from 1 species